rnacentral:rRNA from 1 species
GACGAACGCUGGCGGCGUGCCUAACACAUGCAAGUCGAACGGGGUAAAGACUUCGGUUUUUACUUAGUGGCGAACGGGUGAGUAACGCGUGAGAAACCUGCCUUUCAGUGGGGGACAACAGUUGGAAACGACUGCUAAUACCGCAUAAUGUUAUUUGGGGGCAUCCCCGAAUAACCAAAGAUUUAUUGGUGAUAGAUGGGCUCGCGUCUGAUUAGCUAGUUGGUGAGGUAACGGCUCACCAAGGCGACGAUCAGUAGCCGGUCUGAGAGGAUGAACGGCCACAUUGGGACUGAGAUACGGCCCAGACUCCUACGGGAGGCAGCAGUGGGGAAUAUUGGGCAAUGGGGGAAACCCUGACCCAGCAACGCCGCGUGAAGGAAGAAGGCCUUCGGGUUGUAAACGUUCUUUUACCAGGACGAAGAACGUGACGGUACCUGGAGAAAAAGCAACGGCUAACUACGUAG